UGGGGGAUAUUGCACAAUGGGCGCAAGCCUGAUGCAGCGACGCCGCGUGGGGGAUGAAGGCCUUCGGGUUGUAAACUUCUUUUGCUCUGAACAAGGCGCACUUUGGGGUGUGUUGAGUGUAGGGGUUGAUUAGCGCCGGCUAACUACGUGCCAGCAGCCGCGGUAAUACGUAGGGCGCGAGCGUUGUCCGGAAUUAUUGGGCGUAAAGGGCUUGUAGGUGGCUGGUUGGGUCUGUCGUGAAAGCUCAUGGCUUAACUGUGGGUUUGCGGUGGGUACGGGCUGGCUUGAGUGCAGUAGGGGAGGCUGGAAUUCCUGGUGUAGCGGUGGAAUGCGCAGAUAUCAGGAGGAAUACCGGUGGCGAAGGCGGGUCUCUGGGCUGUUACUGACACUGAGGAGCGAAAGCAUGGGGAGCGAACAGG
rnacentral:rRNA from 1 species